UACGUAGGGUGCAAGCGUUGCCCGGAUUUAUUGGCGUAAAGGGCGCGCAGGCGGCUACGCACGUUCGUUGUGAAAUCGCCCGGCUCAACUGGGCGGGGUCAGCGAAUACGGCGUGGCUGGAGCAAGCUAGGGCAAUGGAAUUUCCCGGUGUAGUGGGUGGAAAUGCGUAGAUAUCGGGAGGAAACACCAGUGGCGAAGGCGGUUUGCCUGGAGCUUUGCUGACGCU
rnacentral:rRNA from 1 species